rnacentral:rRNA from 1 species
GCAGUCGAACGAUGAAGUUAUGACGGAGGCUUCGGCCGACUGAAUGAUGGAUUAGUGGCGGACGGGUGAGUAACGCGUGAGUAACCUGCCUUUCAGAGAGGAAUAACAUUUGGAAACGAAUGGUAAUACCACAUAACAUUACGUUCUCGCAUGGGGAUGUAAUCAAAGAUUUAUCGCUGAGAGAUGGACUCGCGUCCGAUUAGCUGGAUGGUGAGGUAACGGCCCACCAUGGCGACGAUCGGUAGCCGGACUGAGAGGUUGAACGGCCACAUUGGGACUGAGACACGGCCCAGACUCCUACGGGAGGCAGCAGUGGGGAAUAUUGCACAAUGGGGGAAACCCUGAUGCAGCAACGCCGCGUGAAGGAAGACGGUCUUCGGAUUGUAAACUUUUGUUCUUGGUGAAGAAGAAUGACGGUAGCCAAGGAGGAAGCCACGGCUAACUACGUGCCAGCAGCCGCGGUAAUACGUAGGUGGCAAGCGUUGUCCGGAAUUACUGGGUGUAAAGGGAGCGCAGGCGGGAAAUCAAGUUGGAUGUGAAAUGUCGGGGCUUAACCCCGGAACUGCAUCCAAA